rnacentral:piRNA from 1 species
UAAUGAAUCCAGCUUUUCAAA